CGUGGGUAACCUGCCCAAGAGAUCGGGAUAACACCUGGAAACAGAUGCUAAUACCGGAUAACAACAGAUGAUGCCUAUUAACUGUUUAAAAGAUGGUUCUGCUAUCACUCUUGGAUGGACCUGCGGUGCAUUAGCUAGUUGGUAGGGUAACGGCCUACCAAGGCGAUGAUGCAUAGCCGAGUUGAGAGACUGAUCGGCCACAUUGGGACUGAGACACGGCCCAAACUCCUACGGGAGGCAGCAGGG
rnacentral:rRNA from 1 species